GCUAACUAUCAAGCCUCAAAAUCCCCAAUGAUAAACCGCUACAACCACCUUGUACCAAAACAUUUAACUAUUUUAGUAAAGGCGAUCAAAAAAAUUCUAAGAGCUUUAACUUUAGUACCGCAAGGGAAAGAUGAAAUAUAAAUGAAAUAAAAUAAAGCACAAUAUAGUAGAGCCUAAGACUCGUACCUUUUGCAUCAUGGUCUAGCAAGUCAUUAUCAAGCACAAAGACACUCAAGUUUGAUUUCCCGAAACUAGGCGAGCUACUUCAAAAUAGCAUCUAGAGCCAACCCGUCUCUGUAGCAAAAGAGUGGGAAAAUUUUCAAGUAGAAGUGAUAAGCCUACCGAGCCUAGAGAUAGCUGGUUAUUCAAGAAAAGAAUUUUAGUUCUACCUUAAGCCAAAACAUGAACACAAACAAGAUACUAUACUUAAGAGCUAUUCAAAUAAGGAACAGCUUAUUUGAAAAAGGUUACAACCUAAGCUUUAGGGUAAAUUUUUACAAACUCAAUAAAGUAGGCCUAAAAGCAGCCACCUUUAAAAAAGCGUUAAAGCUUCAUUCUCAAUAUACCAAAUACACUGUAUUAUUAUGAACCCAUAAUUAAUAUUGAAUAAAUUCAUAAAUUAUGAAAACUAUUAUGCUAGAACUAGUAACAAGAAAAUGUAUUUCUCCAAGGCGCAAGCAUAAGCCAACAACGGACCACCCAUUGGCACAUAACGGCACUGAAUCAACUAUAACAAAAUAACUAGAAAAUAUUAUAUUUUAUUAUACCGUUAACCUUACACAAGAGUCCCCCUGGAAAGAUUAAAAGGAGGAGAAGGAACUCGGCAAAUACUAGCCCCGCCUGUUUACCAAAAACAUCGCCUCUUGAUUAGAUAUAAGAGGUCCAGCCUGCCCAGUGUUUUAAUUCAACGGCCGCGUGAUUUAAGCGCGCGAAGGUAGCAUAAUAAUUUGUUCUUUAAAUGAGGACUUGUAUCAAUGGCAUCACGAGGGCUAUACUGUCUCCUCCCCCCAAUCAGUGAAACUAAUCUUCCUGUGAAAAAGCAGGAAUAAGACUAUAAGACGAGAAGACCCCAUGGAGCUUAAAACACAGCAUUAAUUCUAAUUACAUUAUCAAUAUAAUUUUAUAUACUACAUGCCAGUUUUAGGUUGGGGUGACCGCGGAGUACAACAAAACCUCCACAACGAAAAAGGUUUAUACCCUUAUCCAAGAGAUACUUCUCUAAGAAUUAUUCAAUAUAACGUUUAAUGACCCGACUAUCGAUCAACGGACCAAGUUACCCUGGGGAUAACAGCGCAAUCCACUUUGAGAGCCCCUAUCGACAAGUGGGCUUACGACCUCGAUGUUGGAUCAGGGUAUCCUAGUGGUGCAGCCGCUACUAAAGGUUUGUUUGUUCAACAAUUAAAACC
rnacentral:rRNA from 1 species